rnacentral:misc_RNA from 1 species
UGCCCAAAGCAAAGCUUAAGACCCA